rnacentral:lncRNA from 1 species
GAUGGCCCACUACCUACAUUCAAGCUUCCCCCACUCCUCCACCCGAUGUGGAUAACAAUGGAUUGCGUAAAGCCCAAUGCAUUUUCGUGUUUGGCACUGGACCAGUAUAUUUUGGUAUAACGUACCUCAUUUUUUUUAUUUUAUAUGAUUUUGCCAAGAAAAGAUGUGAUGAGAUUCCAAGCACCAAGAAAACAAGUCAAG